rnacentral:rRNA from 1 species
UACGUAGGGUGCAGGCGUUAAUCGGAAUUACUGGGCGUAAAGCGUGCGCAGGCGGUCUUUUAAGUCAGAUGUGAAAUCCCCGGGCUUAACCUGGGACUGCGUUUGAAACUGGAAGGCUUGAGUGUGGCAGAGGGGGUGGAAUUCCACGUGUAGCAGUGAAAUGGCGUAGAUAUGUGGAGGAACACCGAUGGCGAAGGCAGCCCCCUGGGCUAACACUGACGCCUCAUGCACGAAAGCGUGGGGAGCAAACAGG